ensembl:lncRNA
GUCUCAACAGGCGUAUAGCCUUCAAACUGUACUCACACAAUAUGGUGCAUUUGAAAGGCCGUAACGCACAGGUCUGGAUCAGCCAACGGAAUGAGGGCCCAUGCAGCAGAGAACCUUGAAGCACAAACAAAACAAGCCCUAUUUAGUUGAAAGCACUGAAGCGGCAUCAAGGUCCAAGGCGAUGCAGGCACUUGGCCUACAGGCGCCCUGUCAGCUUGUGCUGAGCAGACAGCCCCUCAGGCACAGGCACCCGCAUCCACAUAAGGAGGGUGGUCAUGAGCAGCUUCGUCAAAAACAAGUGCCAUCAGGUUGAAGACAUAGUCUGUGAAGUGUGAAAAGGUCUUUAUGUUCUUUUGGCACUUGGAGUAUUUUCUUCGGAUAAAUGGUUUAUUUUUUUGGUAAAACUUUUUGGGGUAAAACCUUUGUAAAAGUCCUCCCUUUAGAUGUUGUCAUUUGUGGAUGGUCAGCAUUCUCAUUGAAGUGAAUUGCUGCCAGGUAUAAUCUGGACCACAAGACAAACAACCAAUUCAAUAAUAUAUUGACCGUUAGACCUGAUGUCUCCUGUCCACUGUUCAUGAAUCACACCUUUACAGGCCAAAACUCUCUCAGACAGAAUAUUUUGGUGAGUCCUCUUUUAUAUGUUACCCAG